GAUGAACGCUGGCGGCGUGCCUAAUACAUGCAAGUCGAGCGAACGGACGAGAAGCUUGCUUCUCUGAUGUUAGCGGCGGACGGGUGAGUAACACGUGGAUAACCUACCUAUAAGACUGGGAUAACUUCGGGAAACCGGAGCUAAUACCGGAUAAUAUUUUGAACCGCAUGGUUCAAAAGUGAAAGACGGUCCUGCUGUCACUUAUAGAUGGAUCCGCGCUGCAUUAGCUAGUUGGUAAGGUAACGGCUUACCAAGGCAACGAUGCAUAGCCGACCUGAGAGGGUGAUCGGCCACACUGGAACUGAGACACGGUCCAGACUCCUACGGGAGGCAGCAGUAGGGAAUCUUCCGCAAUGGGCGAAAGCCUGACGGAGCAACGCCGCGUGAGUGAUGAAGGUCUUCGGAUCGUAAAACUCUGUUAUUAGGGAAGAACAUAUGUGUAAGUAACUGUGCACAUCUUGACGGUACCUAAUCAGGAAGCCACGGCUAACUACGUG
rnacentral:rRNA from 1 species